AACGAACGCUGGCGGCAGGCUUAACACAUGCAAGUCGAACGCUCCGCAAGGAGAGUGGCAGACGGGUGAGUAACACGUGGGAACGUACCCUUUACUACGGAACAACUCCGGGAAACUGGAGCUAAUACCGUAUGUGCCCUUUGGGGGAAAGAUUUAUCGGUAAAGGAUCGGCCCGCGUUGGAUUAGCUAGUUGGUGGGGUAAAGGCCUACCAAGGCGACGAUCCAUAGCUGGUCUGAGAGGAUGAUCAGCCACAUUGGGACUGAGACACGGCCCAAACUCCUACGGGAGGCAGCAGUGGGGAAUAUUGGACACUGGGCGCAAGCCUGAUCCAGCCAUGCCGCGUGUGUGAUGAAGGCCUUAGGGUUGUAAAGCACUUUCACCGGAGAAGAUAAUGACGGUAUCCGGAGUAGAAGCCCCGGCUAACUUCAUGCCAGCCGCCGCAGUAA
rnacentral:rRNA from 1 species